CCCUUAAACUUUCUCUUGCAUUGGGAACGGUCUUGAUGUGAGACUCCACUCGUAGUAAGUGGGUUCGAGCAUGCGUAUGGUUACAUUUGGGCAACCCCUGCAGGGUGUACAUCUUAUCGAUAAGCCGUGUCCGCGGUUAUGGACGACUUGGAAUUGUAUAGCUUGAUCAUAGAACAACUUACACCUUUAUGUUGUUGCUAAUAAUUUGCUAAUAAAACUUUUUCAAAAGUGUGUGUGCCUUUGCCAUACCUCUUUGCGAAGGGGGAUCGCAUCGGCUGUGUUAUGUUUGCAGAGUAUAGAACUGUUACCUUGUGCGCUCUCUUAUCUUCUCUGAGUAGACGGAUGUUGUAGCGUGUCUCUAUUGGAUAGUAGCUUUGCUGCCGCUAAACUCCACAUAUAGCCGGGUGAAGUUUAUACCGCCCACCAGCGAGCAUAGCUGGUCUUUUCUCGCAAGUACGUGCCAAUGGUACUUACCCUCGCCUUCCUUUCUUUUUGUCUCCUCCCCCUUUUGUCGGCAACCGAUGGCCCGACUUUGACAGGUACGAGAUGACGACGUUAGCAAGGUUACCCUUCCGGCUUGGCCUGGGCAGGGUUAUGGACGCCACUGGUUAUCUUCAGGACUCUUAGUCCAAUUUGUAUCUUGUCCGUACUCGGAUGUAUUUGAUCUUCUGUAUGAUUUGGAUCCUUGUAUUGUAUAUUUGUAUCUUGACUCGUUGGAGUCGUUGUUGUAAUAUAUGUUUCUUGUGGGCUCUAUUGUAAUCCUGUUGUAAUGUUA